AGCAGCCGCGGUAAUUCCAGCUCCAAUAGCGUAUAUUAAAGUUGUUGCAGUUAAAAAGCUCGUAGUUGAAUUUCGGGGUUAGUAGGUUGGUCAUGCCUCUGGUAUGUACUGGUCUCACUGAUUCCUCCUUCCUGAUGAACCUUAAUGCCAUUAAUUUGGUGUUUUGGGGAAUUUGGACUGUUACUUUGAAAAAAUUAGAGUGUUUAAAGCAAGCUAACGCUUGAAUACAUUAGCAUGGAAUAAUGAAAUAGGACGUUCGAUCCUAUUUUGUUGGUUUCUAGGAUUGACGUAAUGAUUAAUAGGGAUAGUUGGGGGCAUUAGUAUUCAAUUGUCAGAGGUGAAAUUCUUGGAUUUAUUGAAGACUAACUACUGCGAAAGCAUUUGCCAAGGAUGUUUUCAUUAAUCAAGAACGAAAGUUAGGGAUCGAAGACGAUCAGAUACCGUCGUAGUCUUAACCAUAAACUAUGCCGACUAGGGAUCGGAUGAUGUUAAUUUUUAUGACUUCAUUCGGCGCCUUACG
rnacentral:rRNA from 1 species